CCUGGUUGAACCUGCCAGUAGCAUAUGCUUGUUUCAAAGAUUAAGCCAUGCACAUGUAAGUACACACGGCCAGUACAGUGAAACUGCGAAUGGCUCAUUAAAUCAGUUAUGGUUGCUUUGAUCGCUCCAUCUGUUACUUGAUAACUGUUGUCAUUCUAGGACGACUACAUGCCGACGAGCGCCAACCUCCCAGGAUGCAUGCAUUUAUCAGAGCAAGACCAAUCCGGGGCCGAUCGCACGUCCCGUGACGCCGACGAUCAACUUUCAAUGGUACUUUCUGUGCCUAGGAUGGUGAGCGCGGGUAAUGGGAAAUCAGGGUUUGAUUCCGAAGAGGGAGCCUGAGAAACGGCUCCACAUCCAAGGAAGGCAGCAGGCGUGCAAAUUACCCACUCCCGAUUCCGGGAGAUAGUGACGAAAAAUAACAUUACAAGACUCUUUCGAGGCACUGUAAUUGGAAUUAGUAUACACUUUUAAAUCCUUUAACGAGUACCCAUUGGAGGGCAAGUCUGGUGCCAGCAGCUGCAGUAAUUCCAGCUCCAAUAACAUAUAUUUAAGUUGCUGCCUCUCGGCGCCCCCUUGGUGCUCUUGACUGAGUGUCCUGGGGUUCUGAAGCGUUUACUUUGAAAAAAUUAGAGUGUUCAAAGCAGGCCGGUCACCUGAAUACUUCAGCAAGGAAUAAUGGAAUAGGACUCUGGUUCAAUUUUGUUGUUUUUCGGAACUGGGGCCAUGAUUAAGAGGGACGGCCUGGGGCAUUCGUAUUGUGCUGCUACAGGUGAAAUUCUUGGACCGGCGCAAGACGAACCGAAGCAAAAGCAUUACCCAAGAAGGUUUUCAUUAAUCAAGAAUGAAAGUCUGAGGUUUGAAGACGAUCCAAUACUGUCGUAGUUAUGACCAUAAACGAUGCUGACUGGUGAUCUGGCGGCGUUAUUCCCAAGACCCGCUGAGCAGCUUCGGGGAAACCAAAGUCUUUGGGUUCCGGAGGAAGUAUGGUUGCAAAGCUGAAACUUAAAGGAAUUGACGGAAGGGCACCACCAGGAGUGGAGCCUUUGGCUUAAUUUGACUCAACACAGGAAACCUCAUGCGGACCGACACGGAAAGGAUUGACAGAUUGAUAGAUCUUUCUCGAUUCUGUGGGUGGUGGUGCAUGGGCGUUCUUAGUUGGUGGAGAAAUUUGUCUGGUUAAUCCCGAUAACAAACGAGACGCCUCCAUGCUAACUAGUUACGUGACCCCCCAGUAGUCAGCGUUUAACUUCUUAGAGGGACAAGUGGCAUUCAGCCACACGAGAUCGAUCAAUAACAGGUCUGUGAUGUCUUUAGAUGUCCGGGGCUGCACGCUUGCUACACUGAACGGAUCAGCGUGUGUCGGCCCUACGCCAACAGGUGCGGCUAACCCGCUGAACCCAUUUGUGCUAGGGAUUGGGGAUUGCAAUUAUUUCCCAUGAACGAGGAAUUUCCAGUAAGUGCGGGUCAUAAGCAUGCAUUGAUUAAGUCCCUGUCCUUUGUACACACCACCCGUCGUUACUACCGAUUGGAUGGUUUAGUGAGGUCCUCGGAUCGGACCCACCGGGGUCGGCAACGGCCCUGGUGGAGCGGCGAGAAGACGAUCAAACUUGACUAUCUAGAGGAAGUAAGUUGUACGGGUUGGGUUAACCUGCUGAGG
rnacentral:rRNA from 1 species